AAAUUACCUACACCUUUCUGAUAGACCGGAGUCGCUUGAGCCUAUUUCAGAUAAGUACUUUGAAGGAAAAGGUACGUGGGCACUUUUAUUCAUUUAUCAACGGUGGCGCUUCCCCUACAAUAUAUAAGAACAAGAGCUGUGCGUCACAUUCGACGCUCUUACGGUUUAAGUCUUGGUAGGAAAUUUGGUAAUAAAUUUAGAGAAACUUACAGGCAGUAAUUUAACUGCAUCUAUAGGCCUUUAUUAAUUGAUUAUGGAUACUAAAGAAUUUCGAAUACGAGGAAGGGAGAUGGUCGACUAUAUUGCCGAUUAUCUGGAGACGAUUUCAACUAGAAGGGUUCUUCCAGAGGUUCAACCUGGCUAUUUAAGAUCGAUGUUACCAUCAAGACCGCCAAGGAAUCCGGAAAAAUGGGAAGAUAUUAUGAGGGAUGUGGAAAAAGCCAUCAUGCCUGGGCUAACCCAUUGGCAACACCCACGCUUCCAUGCUUACUUUCCAGCCGGAAAUUCUUACCCAUCCAUCCUUGGUGAUAUGCUAAGUGAUGCCGUAGGAUGCGUCGGUUUCUCCUGGGCAGCUAGUCCAGCCUGUACAGAGCUGGAAAUAAUUGUUUUGGAUUGGGUCGCAAAAAUGAUAGGCUUACCUAAAUGCUUUACUCAUGAUAGCGGUACUGGAGGAGGUGUACUACAAGGUUCAGCUAGCGAGUGUGUACUUGUUAGUCUGUUAGCCGCUAGAUACGCAGCUAUACAUGAUCUUAAGAAAAAGUUUUCAUUCGUUGACGAGGGUCUUCUGCUCUCUAGAAUGGUUGCGUAUUGUUCCAAAAUGGCUCAUUCCUGUGUUGAAAAGGCGGGUAUUAUAGCUAUGGUCAAAAUGAGGGAAUUGGAAACCGAUGGUAGUUAUUCGCUAAGAGGCGAUACUCUGGAGAAAGCGAUCGAAGAAGAUCGAAAGAAUGGUCUUAUACCAUUUUACGUGUGCGCUACCCUAGGUACAACUUCUGUCUGCUCUUUUGAUAAUUUACCAGAAUUGGGUAAAGUUUGUGAGAAGGAAAAUCUUUGGCUUCAUGUGGAUGCCGCCUAUGCGGGUUCGGCGUUUAUUUGUCCAGAGUUUCAAUCUUUAUUAAAAGGUGUAGAGAAUGCUAAUUCAUUCAAUAUGAAUCCGAAUAAAUGGAUGUUAGUGAACUUUGAUUGCUCGACAAUGUGGGCCAAAGAUAAAAUGGUUCUCACUCAGGCUCUAACUGUAGAUCCAUUGUAUCUCCAACACCAUCAUUCAGAUAAAGCUGUUGAUUUCAGACAUUGGGGUAUUCCAUUAAGCAGACGAUUCCGGUCGCUCAAGUUAUGGUUUGUUAUACGUUCUUACGGAAUCGACGGUUUGCAAAAAUAUAUCAGAGAACACUGCAGAUUGGCAAAGAAAUUCGAGCUCCUAGUUAGAAAAGACGAACGCUUCGAAGUAUUGGGAAACGUUAGAAUGGGCUUAGUAUGUUUUAGGUUGAAAGGUUCCAAUAUUAGAACCCAAACUCUUUUAAGGGCUAUAAACAUGUCCGGUAAACUGCAUAUGGUUCCAGCUCUGCUUAACGAACAUUACGUAAUUCGCUUUGCGAUUUGCGCCCAAAACGCUUCGGAAGACGACAUAAUCUUUGCUUGGCAGGUUAUUAGCGCUAUGGCCUCUGAAGUACUUGCUGCAGUUGAUUCGAAUUUGGAGAAGGAAGGUUUUGAACUGGAAAGAAAUAACGUAGAGGUGAAAAAUGAAAAGAAUAUGGACGAGAGAAGACGAGAAAAAGACGUUGAUAAAUAUUCUUCAUCAUCACCAGAACUUAGCGAAGAAGAAAUCGAAGAAGAGUUCUUAUACGAUGCCAAUAUACCAUCCAUUCCAACUAGAUACGAAGGUUCUGGGCAUUCACCCAAUCCUCUACGGCGUCGAAAUAUGUUAGUUAGAAUGAUUUCGGAUCCAAAGAGCUAUAAUAGCAAGGUAACAAGAAGAACAUUAAAAAAGGUACGAUAUCACACAAUUGAUUAAUGUUUAUUGUAACAUUGUUUUUUCUGAUAAUCGAAAACAAACAAACAAACAAACAAACUAAUAUGAUACCUUUUUUUCUUUCUUUUUCGUUUAUUUUUCGAUGUUGUCCACUAUUUAAAUUGACAUUUAAAAACGAUCAUUGAUUAAUUAGUGUUAAUUUUUAAAGAUUUAAUUAUAACGGUAGUCAUCAGUUUUAAAUAUGUAUAAGAAAUAUACAAGAAAAACGAAAGAACGACUUGAAACGUUUUAGCUACAAUACUUUAUACUGAAUUUGUAGAAUACCUUCUCCUAGCAGCAAAAUGCGGUUAAUGGCUUCGCGAAUUUCCCCGUUUGAAUUCUAUUUCGUUGAAUUUUGCAAGCAGGUCUACAAAAGUUCGAAUAAUGUUGAAUCUUAUCAAAUUUGUUCAAUUUAACAAUAGGAAUUUUUAAAUGACAAAAAUAACAUUCGAUUUCAUUUGUACUAUAUAUGUAAAGUCCAUCUUAUAAAUAACUAAUUCUCUUCUGUCCUGACAAGGUCAUAUCUCUACAGAUAAAUAUCUUUAUCAACCAAGGUCUUUUAUUUUUAAUAUAUCUUUGAAAUAUUAUUACGUAGUAUAUACAUAUCAUUGAUAGCGAAAAUCAGUUAAAGUUUGAAUGGAUUCAUCGGAGAUAUUGCUUGUUUCGAAAAUCGUUUAUUCUUUUUACAAUUUUUAGUGAUCGAUAAUAAAUUUAAUUGAUAUUUACAGCUUCAUUGUCUUUACAUGAAAAUUAGAUAGAAAGCAUGGUUAGCAAUGAAAGAAUGCCGGCGAAUCAAGUAGGCCGUAUCAAGAUAUGCGUAUAUUUUUCAAAAUUGUCCAAUAAUCCGCAAGGAGCGUAGAAAUAAGAAUUUUUAGAUACAACUGUCAUCUCGGACUUAUCAUCAAACCAUAGUCCUUUGCUUACUAUACGUUUAAUAUAGGUUAAAUUUCUCUUUUCCGGAUAAUCUCCCCAUCUUGGAAAGUCACCGUUUUGAGCAGAAACCAAUUUAACUCUUUUUCGCUCUAACGAAACGCACCACGAGCAAUGCCAACCGCUUGGAUGACUUUUAUUACCAAAACUCCAAACUCCUAUAAGGCUUUUUGACCCUUCAUUUUUUUUCAUGACUAGGUAAGCGUUUAACUUUGACGAUUCCUUUUGCAUAUAAUGGGGAGCUGAUCGAAUCCAGAUACCAUUUAGAGAGAAAACAUGAGUCAAAAAACCGAUGGUUGUCGCAGUGAUUACGUGUGUAAUUCCUCUACCAGCUUUAUAAAAGAAACCGUAAGUUCUCCAACUCAAAUUAAUGCCAAUUGGUUCGGGAUAAUCUUUAUUAACCUUGAGAAAAAGUGCGGUGCUUCUCGUGGGAAGCUCAUCGGCGUCAUUCAACAUGAAAAUGUCAUCAUGGUCAAGAUUUCUUAGCUGGUUUUGUAUACCUUGUUUAGCUAAGUGAUUCCUGAGGAGGUUAUCAACAGCCCAGCCAUUUUUAUAUCCCUCUUGAGGAAAAUAAUCGAGUAAAACGUGAACAAUUUUCUCCCUAUUGAUAAAUAAUAUAAAAGUGUACAAGUAUAUUUGUAUCAUCUAAUUCGCUAAACAUUUUUCGCUAAUCCAAAAAUCAUACACUUACCUAUAUUUCUUAUACUUUCCUCUUUUUAACUGAUUAUAUAAAUAUAGAGGUUUCUUUUCACCAUAAGCAGUAUAAGUACUCUCUAGGAUAAGAAACACAUCAACAAUAUCACCCAAUUCAGAAAAUCUGGCGUCCAGUAAUUCAAAUUCAACACUGAAGGGAAAGGCGUUGACAAUUUUUCUAUUUUUCUCUGCAGCUGUAAUAUAUUUCCUUCUUUGACUGUAAAAUGAUAAGGGAAAAGAAAUUUAUUAUUUUGCAUAAAAUAGAUAUUUGAAAGUUGACCGUAUAUUAGAAUACCAAACAGU
rnacentral:misc_RNA from 1 species